rnacentral:rRNA from 1 species
CCCACUUGUGGAGGAGGCUGCGGCCCAUCAGGUAGUUGGUGUGGUAACGGCGCACCAAGCCGACGACGGGUAGGGGACCUGAGAGGGUGAUCCCCCACACUGGGACUGAGACACGGCCCAGACUCCUACGGGAGGCAGCAGUGAGGAAUAUUGCCCAAUGGAGGAAACUCUGAGGCAGCGACGCCGCGUGGGUGAAGAAGGCCUUCGGGUCGUAAAGCCCUUUUCUGCGUGACGAGACAAGGACGGUAGCGCAGGAAAAAGUCUCGGCUAACUACGUGCCAGCAGCCGCGGUAAAACGUAGGAGGCAAGCGUUAUCCGGAGUUACUGGGCGUAAAGCGCGCGCAGGCGGACUUGUAAGUGGGUUGUGAAAGCGCCCGGCUAAACCGGGCGAGGACAAAUCAGACUGCAGGUCUAGAGGCGGAUAGAGGAGCGUGGAAUUCCGGGUGUAGCGGUGAAAUGUGUAGAGAUCCGGAGGAACACCAGUGGUGCAAACGACGCUCUGGGUCCGGACUGACGCUGAGGCGCGAAAGCGUGGGGAGCGAACGGGAUUAGAG